rnacentral:rRNA from 1 species
UAGGGAAUCUUCGGCAAUGGACGGAAGUCUGACCGAGCAACGCCGCGUGAGUGAAGAAGGUUUUCGGAUCGUAAAGCUCUGUUGUUAGAGAAGAACGUUGGUAGGAGUGGAAAAUCUACCAAGUGACGGAAACUAACCAGAAAGGGACGGCUAACUACGUGCCAGCAGCCGCGGUAAUACGUAGGUCCCGAGCGUUGUCCGGAUUUAUUGGGCGUAAAGCGAGCGCAGGCGGUUCUUUAAGUCUGCAGUUAAAGGCAGUGGCUUAACCAUUGUACGCUUUGGAAACUGGAGGACUUGAGUGCAGAAGGGGGGAGUGGAAUUCCAGGUGUAGCGGUGAAAUGCGUAGAUAGAUGGAGGAACGCCGGUGGCGAAAGCGGCUCUCUGGUAUGUAACUGACGCUGAGGCUCGAAAGCGUGGGGAGCAAACAGG